AUCUAACUGAUAAGUCCCAAUUAGGAUGAAACGCACGUCCUGGAU
rnacentral:hammerhead_ribozyme from 1 species